rnacentral:rRNA from 1 species
UACGAAGGGGGCUAGCGUUGCUCGGAAUCACUGGGCGUAAAGCGCACGUAGGCGGAUUGCUAAGUCAGGGGUGAAAGCCCAAGGCUCAACCUUGGAAUUGCCUUUGAUACUGAGGGCCUUGAGACCGGAAGAGGUCGGCGGAACUGCGAGUGUAGAGGUGAAAUUCGUAGAUAUUCGCAAGAACACCAGUGGCGAAGGCGGCCGACUGGUCCGGUUCUGACGCUGAGGCGCGAAAGCGUGGGGAGCAAACAGG